rnacentral:lncRNA from 1 species
UUCCAUGUUUUUCUCCUUUUACUUUGUUCACAAGUUGUUCAAUUUUUUCACCCUCAUCUUUAACAUCUUCAGUUUCCUCCAUCUUAUUCCCACUCUUUUGCUUGACUAACUCUUCUUUUACUUUUGUUUCUUUUAUCUUUGUGUCUUCUAGUCCAUCUCUUUUAUUAGGUACUGAAUUAACUAUUUUCAUAGGAAACUCUUCUUUUGCAGCAUUGCUUGCUUCAACUCUUCCUUUACUCAUAUCUUCUCGGAAACAUUGUUGAUCUUUUUCAUUUAUUCGAAUCUUAGGAUUCUCGAUAUCUUUCCGAGUUGUCUCUCGUAUCAUGUCUUUACUGAAACCACCAUUUGCUUCCACCAGUAUCUUUUCAAUUUUCUCUCCAUUUACAUUCUUCACAGACUGUUCAAUUUCUGUAUUCUCUUCUUUGACAUCUUCAGUUUCCAGCAUGCCCGAAAACUUUUGUCUUUUGCUUCCAUCAAACCCUGCAUCUCUUUUCAAUUUCACUAUACCAUAUUCAUUUUUGUCUUUCUUAUCUCCGGCCGUUGCCUCCACAAUCUGCUUAGGAAGCUUUUCUUGUGCCCUCCCCAAUACUUCAAAAGGUUCUUUGAUAAUAUUG